AAUGAACGUUGGCGGCAUGGAUUAGGCAUGCAAGUCGAGCGAGAAGAGUUUUGAAGCUUGCUUUAGAACUCGGACAGCGGCGAAAGGGAGAGUAACGCGUAGUUAUGUGCCCUAGGGUCCGGAAUAGCCACGGGAAACUGUGGGUAAUGCCGGAUAAUAUCCCCGGAUCAAAGGUGUGAUUCCGCCCUAGGAGCAGACUGCGUCCUACUAGCUAGUUGGUGGGGUAAUGGCCUACCAAGGCAACGAUGGGUAGCGGGUGUGAGAGCAUGACCCGUCUCACUGGGACUGGGACACUGCCCAGACACCUACGGGUGGCUGCAGUCGAGAAUCUUCGGCAAUGGGCGAAAGCCUGACCGAGCGAUGCCGCGUGCGGGAUGAAGGCCCUCGGGUUGUAAACCGCUGUCGUAGGGGAGGAAGGUUCCGUGAAGAGCGGAAUUUGACCUAUCCCAGGAGGAAGUACGGGCUAAGUUCGUGCCAGCCGCCGCCGUAA
rnacentral:rRNA from 1 species